rnacentral:rRNA from 1 species
AUUCCAGCUCCAAUAGCGUAUAUUAAAGUUGUUGCAGUUAAAAAGCUCGUAGUCGGAUUUUGGCAUCACGCCGAACUGUCUGCCGAUUGGUAAGUACGGUUUGGCGGGUGCUUCCUUCCGGAGGCUCGUUCCCUUCUUCAUUGAAGGGUUCGUUGGUUCCGGGUCUUUUACUUUGAGAAAAUUAGAGUGUUCAAAGCAGGCCUAUGCUCUGAAUAGGUUAGCAUGGAAUAAUAGAAUAGGACUUUGGUUCUAUUUUGUUGGUUUCUAGGACCGAAGUAAUGAUUAAUAGGGAUAGUUGGGGGCAUUAGUAUUUAUUAGCUAGAGGUGGAAUUCUCUAAUUUGAUAAAGACUAACUUAUGCGAAAGCAUUUGCCAGGGAUGUUUUCAUCA